AACGUUACCAAACUGUUGCCUCGGCGGGAUCUCUGCCCCGGGCGCGUCGCAGCCCCGGACCAAGGCGCCCGCCGGAGGGACCAAAAAAACAAACCCUUGCAUGCCCCCUCGCGGGCUUUCUCCAAGCUCUGAGCCUUUCUCGGCGCCCCCUCGCGGGGCGCUACGAAAAUGAAUCAAAACUUUCAACAACGGAUCUCUUGGUUCUGGCAUCGAUGAAGAACGCAGCGAAAUGCGAUAAGUAAUGUGAAUUGCAGAAUUCGGUGAAUCAUCGAAUCUUUGAACGCACAUUGCGCCCGCCAGUAUUCUGGCGGGCAUGCCUGUCCGAGCGUCAUUUCAACCCUCGAGCCCCUCCGGGGGGUCGGCGUUGGGGAUCGGCCCUCCCUCGCGGGGGCCGGCCCCGAAAUGCAGUGGCGGUCUCGCCGCAGCCUCUCCUGCGCAGUAGUUUGCACAACUCGCACCGGGAGCGCGGCGGGCCCAUGCCGUGAAACAACCCAACCUUCUGAAAUGUUGACCUCGGAUCAGGUAGGAAUACCCGCUGAACUUA
rnacentral:rRNA from 1 species